UACGUAGGGUGCGAGCGUUAAUCGGAAUUACUGGGCGUAAAGCGUGCGUAGGCGGUGAUGUAAGACAGUUGUGAAAUCCCCGGGCUCAACCUGGGAACUGCAUCUGUGACUGCAUUGCUGGAGUGCGGCAGAGGGGGAUGGAAUUCCGCGUGUAGCAGUGAAAUGCGUAGAUAUGCGGAGGAACACCGAUGGCGAAGGCAAUCCCCUGGGCCUGCACUGACGCUCAUGCACGAAAGCGUGGGGAGCAAACAGG
rnacentral:rRNA from 1 species